rnacentral:rRNA from 1 species
UACGAAGGGGGCUAGCGUUGCUCGGAAUACUGGGCGUAAAGCGUGCGCAGGCGGUUUUGUAAGUCUGUCGUGAAAUCCCCGGGCUCAACCUGGGAAUGGCGAUGGAGACUGCAAGGCUAGAAUCUGGCAGAGGGGGGUAGAAUUCCACGUGUAGCAGUGAAAUGCGUAGAGAUGUGGAGGAACACCGAUGGCGAAGGCAGCCCCCUGGGUCAAGAUUGACGCUCAUGCACGAAAGCGUGGGGAGCAAACAGG